AGAUUGAACGCUGGCGGCAUGCCUUACACAUGCAAGUCGAACGGUAGAGUAGCAAUACUUGAGAGUGGCGAACGGGUGAGUAAUAUAUCGGAACGUGCCCCAGUCGUGGGGGAUAACGUAGAGAAAUUUACGCUAAUACCGCAUACGAUCUAAGGAUGAAAGCGGGGGACCGUAAGGCCUCGCGCGAUUGGAGCGGCUGAUAUCAGAUUAGGUUGUUGGUGAGGUAAAAGCUCACCAAGCCGACGAUCUGUAGCUGGUUUGAGAGAACGACCAGCCACACGUGGGACUGAGACACGGCCCAGACCUCCUACGGGAGCAGCAGGUGGGUAUUUGGACUAAGUGGACGAAACGCUA
rnacentral:rRNA from 1 species